CGGCGGACGGGUGAGUAACACGUGGGUAACCUACCUAUAAGACUGGGACAACUUCGGGAAACCGGAGCUAAUACCGGAUAAGAUAUGAACCGCAUGGUUCGAUAGUGAAAGAUGGUUUUGCUAUCACUUAUAGAUGGACCCGCGCCGUAUUAGCUAGUUGGUGAGGUAACGGCUCACCAAGGCAACGAUACGUAGCCGACCUGAGAGGGUGAUCGGCCACACUGAACUGAGACACGGUCCAGACUCCUACGGGAGGCAGCAGAC
rnacentral:rRNA from 1 species